AUGACCCUGACGAGAUGGCUGCCAUAGGGUCGUGACCUUCUUUAGCAUGCACAUCGGCACCGUCCCCGCGUCCGCAGCAGGGGGACGACAAUGGCUGCAAGUGACGGCACAGGAGCCCAUCUUAGUCGAGCACCCUCCCAGGAUUUUACUACUGUUAUGGCAAAAGAAGGCUAAAGCUGGGAAAGACAACAAUGUCAGGAGCCGGCCGAGGUAAAGAGACCUAAGUUGACAAGCAGGGUUGUGCAGUUAUUUUUCUCUGCUAUUCAUUGAGCAUAUCAGGAGAUUGAUAGACAGUGUGAGAACUGGUACAUAAAAUAAUUUCUUCUGAAUCACAUAGUGGUUCCUAACAUUUAGCAUUUCUAAAAUUUGCCAUUUUUAGCUAGAUCCAAAAUGCAGAGAGGCAAGGUUUAUUUUCCUGGAGGUCCUAUAUUGCAGCUGGUGCUAUUUUGUUAUGUCAAAUUGUGUAUUUUUCCAGCUUCCCUUCCUCAUGUAUGAGCUUGUCUAUGGUGGGAUGGGGAUUCGGAGGAUAAAUGUUAUGGCAGUAAGGAGGUCAAGCGUGAGACGUCACAUGUCAAGGGGAUUUACUAUUUAGUCUCUUCUAAUCAGGUGAAGAGAUACUGCUGGUUUAAACGGAAUCCAUACUUUAACAUGAUUUCUCCCAAUUCAACAAAGUCAGGUACUACUCAUGUUCUUUCAUGGUAUGGCUUAUGUGAC